GUCAAUCGAUUAUAAUUCAACCUUUUCUAACAUUUUUUUUUCAUCAAAAAAAUCAUUGAAUUUUUAUUCAUUUUGAUGGCAAAAAAUGGCUAAAAUGGGGUCUUGUGAUUGGUAAAAAUAAUAAAGAUUUACUUUUGGGCCAGAAAAACAUGGUCAAAAUCUGAAACAAUCAUAAUGGUGGCUUACCAAUGUUGAAAAAAAUGAUCAACGUCAUCAUUGGAAACAACCAACGCCCUAAUCGUUCAUUUCGAUAAUGAUGUUUGGGUCGAAUGGUUUAUUAUGAUACACUCGAUCAUAAGCUGGAGAUGUAUAUCUGGAAUUUCGAUGUCUAUUUCAAUGUCUAUAGCUAUUUGUGAGCAAUUCGAAUUUGUCCUCUAAUCGUCCUUAAGCAUUGUCAAAGUUCAUUAACAUCAUUGAAUUAGUUGUAUAUCGAUACGAAUGAGUGCUGGUCCUCACAACAAUAAAAUCCAUUCAUAAUUUUUUGUGAUUAAUCUGGAACUGCCCAAAGCAAAAUGGUUUUUUAAAAUUAAUUUUACUAAAUAUUCAAGAAUUAUUAUAUCUUUUCAACAAAUGCUGAUUAAACGAAUUCUUCAAUUUAUCAUUUUCAACAAGUUUAAAUUAUCAGAUCAACAGAUAUUCAUCCUGAAUGAUAACUUCAUCGAUAAAGACUUUUAUUAUUAUUAUUGUCUUUUUCAUUGUCUAAUUAUUGAUAAUGAUUCAUUCAUUUUACAAUAUUGAUUGUCUGACAUCUCGAUUCAUCCAGAAUUACAAGAGAAUUCAUUCAACAUUUAACAUCAAUGAAUUUUGUUAACAAUUUAAACCAAUUUGAUAAGAAUAAAAUCUACAUGACUAUUUCGUCA